UUAGGUUAAGUUAGAAAGGGCGCACGGUGAAUGCCUUGGCACUAGGAGCCGACGAAGGACGCGACGAACAGCGAUAUGCCUCGGGGAGUUGUAAGUAAACUUUGAUCCGGGGAUUUCCGAAUGGGGGAACCCACNAUCCGUAAUGGGAUGGUAUCCAUAUCUGAAUACAUAGGGUAUGAGAAGGCAGACCUGGGGAACUGAAACAUCUAAGUACCCAGAGGAAGAGAAAGAAAUAUUCGAUUACCUGAGUAGCGGCGAGCGAAACGGUAACAGCCCAAACCAAGGGGCUUGCCCCUUGGGGUUGUAGGACACUCUAAACGGAGUUACAAAGAAACGAAGUAGACGAAGCGAUCUGGAAAGGUCCG
rnacentral:rRNA from 1 species